rnacentral:lncRNA from 1 species
CAAUAAUUAAUAACAUUAGCACACUUACCAGAUGUGGAGGUCUGUGGACUGUGUGUAGUAGACCAUCUUCAUUUUGUGUCUGCAGUUUUUGCAUUUCACUUUUCUUUGCAGCAACCUUUUCUUUUGCAACCAUGUUAUCAACUUGAAUGAUGUUUUUUUUGACUCCUUGACAUUCACUUUUCUCAAAAGUGUUCCCACAAGCGAAGCCAUAGCACCGGUGGGCAGAGGAAAUAACUGAUGUUACUGGCCCCGAUUUGAAAAUCUGGCGCACUUUUCUGUUAUUAGUUCAAUAUGUGGAGGUACGCUUGAUUUUUACAUCUAAACACCUCCCACCGCAAAGGUUGGGCUGAUUCCCUGGUUGUUGCCUGACUCAAUCAUAAUAAUCAAGCGCUUCUACCGUCCGAUUGGCUAAGCCGCACCGCCAACUCUGUGCCGUUGAAAGAAGCUAUUAGUCCGCGCAAAAUAAAUUGGAUCUUGUCGCUAUGGUAAGUAUCAACCCUCUCUCAACAGUUAUUGUUUUAUUUCGAAAGCAGGCGCCAUUACUUGUAUGUGUGAACCACUUAUGUUAGGCCUACCUUUUGUUUCAGUACCAGCAUAUGAUUUUCCAUCAGUUAAGUUCGGCGUUGCCUGGAAAUAUGAUGGAAAGGCCUGAGCGCUCUACCCGGGCAAAAGGACAGCGGGGGAAUGAAGGAGAAAGCUCCGAUAUGCCUACUGCUGUUAGUAAUAUCGAAAAUAUUCAACCACACAAAGUGCAAUGGAAGAAAAGGUCGGAAGAGCUGCAGUCCCGAAUCAAUGAGCUGGAGGAGGAGAAUGCUUUGCUCAAGCAGCAGCUUGAGCAAAGGCCUUCAGCAAAUCAAGGUUAGUAAAGCUGGAGUAAAGUUUUACUUAAGGACUUUCAAGAAUGUAUGUGGCUUCACUAGAAUUUUACAACAAUAUACCACAACAAUAUUGGGGUUCACCCAUCGUAUGAGGGUCACUCUAUGUCACAACGUCUGAUAGACAUAUGAGCAUAUGAGCUCACAUCGUGUAGCGACAGUACCUUUAGACUUUGUCUCACUCCGUUUUUCAAGGAAAUCAUGUCAUUCAGAUCUUCCUGAGUGGAAGCUAGCUUAACCCCACCUCCUUUACAGCCACCCCCUUCCCGACUAUCAGCCGUCAGAACCUUGGUCAGAACGUAUUUUUCGAAAUUGUGCAGUGGGAGAAGUUAUGCUGAGACAGGGGGUAAAGUUGUACUUUAAGGUUGUUUUAAGUUUUAUUUUUCUGCUUUUUGUCAUUUCUCAGGUGAGAAAAUGGACAACACUGCCACCGACCCAGAGUCAGACACUGACUCGAGUUCCAACUCCAGCACUGACUCCACCGAUUCCAGGAGCAGUGAUACAAGCUCUUCCUCCUCUGAUGGCCGCAAGAAAAAGAGGAAGCACAAAAAGAAAAACAAAAAGAAGAGCAAAAAGGCUUCAUAGAACAAAGGACUUCGAGGUAAAGUAAACUAUAGAGUUGUGCUGUAUUUCUUUAGGUUUGGAAAUUAAAUAUAGUGUAUACAGCUUAGGGCAGAAUUAUUAGCACCCCUAUGAAAAUUUCAUUUUUCUAAAAGUACAUACUAACCCUUACCCUGCAACUAAGACAAACCACAACCAUCUUUGGGGAGAAGUAAACUGUAUAUAUAUUAGUGUUUUAUUGUUGUUAAUUUAUUUUCCAUUUUCAGUGACAACAAUAUCGGAUGUUGUUAAAAGGUACCGCUGGGUCCUUAAACUAAUUCAAAAAGGACGCAAGAUGUCGAGGGCAUUCCUGAAGGCACGUGUUUCUAGAAACGCAGUUAAAGACACCGCAGCAAUCGCGGAGCUCUACAUUGCAGAGAGGAGUGUCCUGGAUGGAAUCAAAGGCGAACAGAGGCUCCUUCAUUUAGCAAAGCUCUGCCAGUCCAAAAUUGUUGGAGAACUUGCCCUUAAAAUUGAAGAGCUGAAGAGGAAAAAAAAACUCAAACCAUUCUCCAAAAAGGGUUAAAGGGACAGGGGUGAAAGGAGAGAGUUUUUUUAAUUAAACGAUAAAUCCUGUGUAAAAUGGAUCUGGGAUAUGUUUAAUAUGAUAAUGAGAUGGGAUGUUCGUUUGGGAGCAAAAAACCACAUGCAGACGCAUUCUUAAGUUGGCUGUUUUUAGCCGAUUCUACCAAAACGCUAUAAGCUUGGAACGAUGUCUCGUGGUAAAAACAAAAUCGCUAUUUUAAACAGUUUAAAAGGCUAGAAAUAGCCCGACACUUCUUUGGUAGUAUAGUAAGGGUCUUAAAAUAUAAAACGAGGCAUUGAUAACUUUGUAAGUGUACAGAUUGUUUAUUACAAAUUACAUUUUAUACACACAAUGCCAUCAGUUGUUCACCUGUCGACGCCAUUUUGUAUUUAAGACUCGAUAUAAGUACAUUGACAAAUACAGUGAUUGUGACCUCCGGGAAGAACACGCAAGCUAAGCUCUGUGUUCGCCAAUCUACUUAUCAAGUCUUAAAUACAAGAUGGUGUCGAUGGGUGAACUUCUGAUGGUAUUGUGUGCUUAAAAUAUCAUUUUUAAUAAACAAUCUGUACACUUACAAAGUUAUCAAUGCCUCGUUUUAUAUUUUAAGACCCUUAUUAUACUACCAAAGAAGUGUCGGGCUACUUCUAUCCUUUUAAGUGGUUUAAAAUAGCAAUUUUGUUUUUACCACGAGACUUGCCCCCAUCGUUCCAAGUUUAUAGCGUUUUGGUAGAAUCGGCUAAAAACAGCCAACUUAAGAAUGCGUCUACAUUCACUUUUUUGCUCCCAAAUGAACGUCCCAUUUCGUUAUCAUGUAAAACAUAUCCCAGAUCCAUUUUACACCGG